rnacentral:rRNA from 1 species
GACGAACGCUGGCGGCGUGCUUAACACAUGCAAGUCGAACGGAAAGGCUCUGCUUUUGUGGGGUGCUCGAGUGGCGAACGGGUGAGUAACAGGUGAGUAACCUGCCCUUGACUUUGGGAUAACUUCAGGAAACUGGGGCUAAUACCGGAUAGGAGCUCCUGCUGCAUGGUGGGGGUUGGAAAGUUUCGGCGGUUGGGGAUGGACUCGCGGCCUAUCAGCUUGUUGGUGUGGUAGUGGCUUACCAAGGCUUUGACGGGUAGCCGGCCUGAGAGGGUGACCGGCCACAUUGGGACUGAGAUACGGCCCGGACGCCUACGGGAGGCAGCAGUGGGGGAUAUUGCACGAUGGGCGGAAGCCGGAUGCAGCAACGCCGCGUGCGGGAUGACGGCCUUCGGGUUGUAAACCGCUUUCGCCUGUGACGAAGCGUGAGUGACGGUAAUGGGUAAAGAAGCACCGGCUAACUACGUG